AGCUGGAGCUCAGCUGGUUAGAGCAAAGGACUGAAAAUCCUUCGUGGUUCGAUUCCACUCCGAGCUG
rnacentral:tRNA from 1 species